CUCUUGUCGAUUAUGUGAAAGGCAUAUUUCAGUUUUCCAGUGCUGGCACAGAUCUGGGAGAAGAGUGAUGGAAAUCAAAGAGAUCGAGUACGACUUGGAAGACAUAGUCUGUCUGACUUUCCUGCAGAAGUGCUUUGCAGCAGCAAAGGCAAAGCCUCUCUCCCCAGAGGAUGUAAAAACAAAGAUAUCAUCAUGAAUAUGUAAAAAUUCCACCUCAGGACAUGUUAUGCUUAUAGAAAAUGAGUUCAUAAUGAGAAGUGUUUCUUCAAGUAAAAAUGCACAUCACCUCAUUUUAGGGGUCCUCAGAGUAUUGAACAGGGGUGUGAUGUGGAACAGUGCUGAGCAAUAAAGCAUUGUGAAAACCUUUUCUGUGUGGUGGG
rnacentral:lncRNA from 1 species